UUCAUUCAAGUCAAUUGUGUGAACAGGAGGAACGUGCAAUCAGAUUGGACCUAGUGCUUGGAACAGUAAUGCUCCAACCUGUGCUGAUAGUGCACAACAACUUUGAAGCAAACCCCUUGGUGGAGGAGACCUGUGUCACUCACAUGUUGCAUUGCUGAAAUUCAGAUAUUUUCCUGCUUUCUCCUCCUAAGAGCUCUGAAAUAUAAACCCUGCAGAAAGAAGUUCAGAGGUGGCUUUUGCCUUGGCUGUACUCCUUGGAACUGGUAAAAGGCAAACAAAGAGAGGAAGAAGCUUGAAAACCAUUACCUGUCUACUGCCUUCAGUCCUGCCAAGAGCUGCUGUGCCAAGCAAAGCCAGAAUUUAGCCGAUACCUUCUGAGUUAUGUUGAUAACAAGUGGCUGCCUAACGAUAUUUUGUACCUCAAAGAUUUCUCCUCAUUUAAUACACUGGAAUCUCAGUGACCCCAGCAGAAAGAAAGCUGUUUGAAGUGUACUUGAGUGGAAGAAAAACAGAAGGUGUGUCCGAAGUAGCUU
rnacentral:lncRNA from 1 species